rnacentral:rRNA from 1 species
GACGAACGCUGGCGGCGUGCUUAACACAUGCAAGUCGAACGGAAAGGCCCUGCUUUUGUGGGGUGCUCGAGUGGCGAACGGGUGAGUAACACGUGAGUAACCUGCCCUUGACUUUGGGAUAACUUCAGGAAACUGGGGCUAAUACCGGAUAGGAGCUCCUGCUGCAUGGGGGGGGUGGGAAAGUUCGGCGGUUGGGGAUGGACUCGCGGCUUAUCAGCUUGUUGGUGGGGUAGUGGCUUACCAAGGCUUUGACGGGUAGCCGGCCUGAGAGGGUGACCGGCCACAUUGGGACUGAGAUACGGCCCAGACUCCUACGGGAGGCAGCAGUGGGGAAUAUUGCACAAUGGGCGGAAGCCUGAUGCAGCAACGCCGCGUGCGGGAUGACGGCCUUCGGGUUGUAAACCGCUUUCGCCUGUGACGAAGCGUGAGUGACGGUAAUGGGUAAAGAAGCACCGGCUAACUACGUG